GAUUGGGAGAAACCCAAUACACUUCUCCCAGGAUGGUGUGGUCUAUGCUCACACCAUGGAGAACUCAUCCAACAGCCCAAGAGGGACCAGGGAGCCUGCUCCUCCGCGAAGGACCUGGAGGGGCCACUUCCAGAGAGCCCUGGCACGUGUGUCCAAGUUCUUCAGGAGAGUACACCGAUCAAGCCGAGGCUGAGACCACGGGAGUCCUAGACAGGGACCCAUGCACAGUGAUUAAGACCUUCGGCACCUCAGGUCCCUAGUCUCCGAAGAAUCCUGUCCCGUGAUGUUGAAAUAAAUGCUGGC
rnacentral:lncRNA from 1 species